rnacentral:lncRNA from 10 species
GGUGUUUAUAGUAUUCUCUGAUGGUAGUUUGUAUUUUUGUGGGAUUGGUAGUGAUAUCCCCUUUAUCAUUUUUUAUUGCGUCUAUUUGAUUCUUCUCUCUUUUCUUUAUUAGUCUUGCUAGCAAUCUAUCAAUUUUGUUGAUUGUUUCAAAAAAACAGCUCCUGGAUUCACUGAUUUUUUGAAGGGUUUUUUGUGUCUCUAUCUCCUUCAGUUCUGCUCUGAUCUUAGUUAUUUCUUGCCUUCUGCUCGCUUUUGAAUUUGUUUGCUGUUGCUUCUCUAGUUCUUUUAAUUGUGAUGUUAGGGUAUCAAUUUUAGAUCUUUCCUGCUUUCUCUUGUGGGCAUUUAGUGCUAUAAAUUUCCCUCUACACACUGCUUUAGAUGUGUCCCAGAGAUUCUGGUUCGUUGUGUCUUUUUUUCUCAUUGAUUUCAAAGAACAUCUUUAUCUCUGCCUUCAUUUCGUUAUCUACCCAGUAGUCAUUCAAGAGCAGGUUGUUCAGUUUCCAUGUAGUUGUGUGGUUUUCAGUGAGUUUCUUAAUCCUGAGUUCUAAUUUGAUUGCACUGUGGUCUGAGAGAUAGUUUGUUGUGAUUUCUAUUCUUUUACAUUUGCUGAGGAGUGUUUUACUUCCAACUAUGUAGUCAAUUUUGGAAUAAGUGUGAUGUGGUGCUGAGGAGAAUGUAUAUUCUGUCGAUUUGGGGAGGAGAGUUCUGUAGAUGUCUGUUAGGUCUGCUUGAUGCAGAGCUGAGUUCAAGUCCUGGAUAUCCUUGUUAACCUUCUGACUCAUUGAUCUGUCUGACAGUGGGGUGUUAAAGUCUCCCAUUAUUAUUGUGUGGGAGUAUAAGUCUUUUUGUAGGUCUCUAAGGACUUCUUUAUGAACCUGAGUGCUCCUGUAUUGGGUGCAUAUAUAUUUAGGAUAGUUAGCUCUUCUUGUUGAAUUGAUCCCUUUACCAUUAUGUAAUGGCCUUCUUUGUCCCUUUUGAUCUUUGUUGGUUUAAAGUCUGUUUUAUCAGACUACGAUUGCAAUCUCUGCUUUUUUUUGCUUUCCAUUUGCUUGGUAGAUCUUCCUCCAUCACUUUAUUUUGAGCCUAUGUGUGUCUCUGCAUGUGAGAUGGGUCUCCUGAAUAUAGCACAGUGAUGAGUCUUGACUCUUUAUCCAAUUUGCCAGUCUAUGUCUUUUAAUUGAGGCAUUUAGCCCAUUUACAUUUAAGGUUGAUCUUGUUAUGUGUGUAUUUGAUCUUGUCAUUAUGAUGUUAGCUGGUUCUUUUGCCCAUUAGUUGAUGCAGUUCCUUCCUAGCAUUGAUGGUCUUUACAAUUUGGCAUGUUUUGCAGUGGCUGAUAACCUGUUGUUCCUUUCCAUGUUUAGUGCUUCCUUCAGCAGCUCUUGUAAGGCAGGACAAAAUCGGGUGGUGACAAAAUUUCUCAGCAUUUGCUUGUCCGUAAAGGAUUUUAUUUCUCCUUCACUUAUGAAGCUGAGUUUGGCUGGGUAUAAAAUUCUGGGUGAAAAUUCUUUUCUUUAAGAAUGUUGAGUAUUGGCCCCCACUCCCUUGUGGCUUGUAGAGUUUCUGCCAAGAGAUCCACUGUUAGUCUGAUGGGCUUCCCUUUGUGAGUAAUCCAACCUUUCUUUCUGGCUGCCCUUAACAUUUUUUCCUUCAUUUCAACCUUGGUGAAUCUGAAAAUUAUGUGUCUUGGGGUAGCUCUUCUUGAGGAGUACCUUUGUGGUUUUCUCUGUAUUUCCUGAAUUUGAAUGUUGGCUUGCCUUGCUAGGUUGGGGAAGUUCUCCUGGAUAAUAUCCUGAAGAGUGUUUUCCAACUUGGUUCCAUUCUCCCCAUCACUUUCAGGUGCACCAAUCAAACAUAGAUUUGGUCUUUUCAUAUAGUCCCAUAUUUCUUGGAGGCUUUGUUCAUUUCUUUUUACUCUUUUUUCUCUAAACUUGUCUUCUUGCUUUAUUUCAUUGAUUUGAUAUUCAAUCACUGAUAUCCUUUCUUCCACUUGAUCGAAUUGGCUACUGAAGCUUGUGCAUGCAUCACGUAGUUCUCGUGCCAUGGUUUUCAGCUCCAUCAGGUCAAGGUCUUCUCUACACUGUUUAUUCUAGUUAGCCAUUUGUCUAAUCUUUUUUCUAGUUUUUAGUUUCUUUUUAGUUUCUAGUUUUUAGUUUCUUUGCGAUGGGUUCAAACAUCCUCCUUUAGCUUGGAGAAAUUUGUUAUUACUGACCUUCUGAAGCCUUCUUCUGUCACCUCGUUAAAGUCUUUCUCCAUCCAGCUUUGUUCUGUUGCUGGCAAGGAGCUGUAAUCCUUUGGAGGAGAAGAGGUGCCCUGGUUUUUAGAAUUUUCAGCUUUUCUGCUCUGGUUUCUCCCCAUCUUUGUGGCUUUAUCUACCUUUGGUCUUUGAGGUUGAUGACUUACAGAUGGGGUUUUAGUGUGGGUGUCCUUUUUGUUGAUGUUGAUGCUAUUCCUUUCUGUUUGUUAGUUUUCCUUUCAACAGUCAGGUCGCUCAGCUGCAAGUCUGUUGGAGUUUGCUGGAGGUCCACUCCAGACCCUGUUUGCCUGGGUAGCACUAGUGAAGGCUGCAGAACAGCAAAUAUUGCAGCACAGCAAAUAUUGCUGCCUGAUCCUUCCUCUGGAAGCUUCAUCCCAGAGGGGCACCCACCUGUAUGAGGUGUCCGCCCCUACUGGGAUGUGUCUCCCAGUUAGGCUACAUGGAGGUCAGGAACCCACUUGAGGAGGCAGUCUGUCCGUCCUCAGAGCUCCAACGCCAUCCUGGGAGGACCACUGUUCUCUUCAGAGCAGUCAGACAGGGACAUUUAAGUCUGCAGAAGUUGUCUGCUGCCUUUUUUUUAAAUUUAUUUUUUAUUUUUUUAUUAUUAUACUUUAAGUUUUAGGGU